GCGCACCGCCCCCGGGGGAGGAGGGGGCGGCCGGGGCGGCGCUGCCCGGGCGGGAGGGGCGCGGGUGUCUCGGCCCCUCCGCACGGCGGGGGAGCCCCGAGAUGCCUCGGAAAGGUGGCAGUGGCUGCCGGUGGGCAGCGGCCGUGCUGGUGAGGUAACGGCGGAGAUGUUAAAAACGGACCUUCCCGGGACAGGAACCCUCCGGGCUGGGAACGCGCGGUCAGAGGCGGAGGCUCCACACCCCACAACCUCCGCAAAGACACGGGCCUCGCAUCAGGCUGCGCGGCUGCCCCGAGGGCAGGUACCGGGGCUCCGCUUACCGAUAUCGAGGUGUCACCUCAGCCCGGGCACGUUCCCGCCGGCUCCUGCCUUCGGAAAAUGACCCGCGUUUUUCCUAAUUUGAGCUACAGAGCGGGGAACAGCAUUAGUUCAGAUUCGUUCACCAGCCCCGCUUACACAUGGCAGUGCCCGAACCCCGUAACCGCGCUGUGCGAAACUGAGGGAAAGUUCGUUUUGGAGGGAAAAAGCAGCUGAGCAGGUACACAGUGGUCAGACAGUGAGGAGGCCUUUGCACAGAGAAGCUCCAUCUGCAAGAAGCAGAGGUGCAGCAUCUCCUUCCAGGACUGCACUGCCUGAACCAGCAAGCAAAGCAGCAAGAGGCAGAGGUGCCUGAAUUUUAGAAACUGGGGACAAGUUCACAGAGCUCUGCUUCUUUACAGUUUUGUUUGUUUGUUUGUUUUUUUAAUUUAGGGAUAGGUAACUCUUAAUCAAAAUGUAAAAUUUUAAAUUUAAUUUAUAUGGGACUGGUCUUAAUUGUCCCACUUUAAACUCUCAUUAGACAGUGACCAUGACAAAAGUAUCACUUUGUCCUGUGGAGGCUUGCUGUUCCAUUUCUUGGAGAAAAGGUACCAGUGGGCAUGCAUUUGGUCUCGGUUCCAUUGUUACUGUAAUGUAAAUUUACUUAUAAAAUUUAUUUUUGAAAUCAGCUACCACAGAAAUGCUCACUUACCUGUUUGCUAAUUUUCUGGAGUUGCCUUAAAUCCACAAGGAUGGAUCAAUUUCCCAGUGUAAGUUUCCAUUACAUUUUGAAAGAAAUAUUUAAUUAAAAGAAGCCCACUUUUCUUGUAGCUUUGACAGGGACACAUCACAACAAAGGUGGAAAUUAAAUUAACUGAGCCAUUGCUGAACUUUUAAUUCAGCAAUUAACCUGUCAAAUUUCCUCGUAUUCCCAAGCGUGUGCAACGCACAAGUUGAUACAUUGUAGUAGCAGUUCUGCAAAACAUUGGGAGAACCAGCACGAGCACAUUUCAACUGCAAAAACUUUCCCUUACUUUGUUUUGUUUCCGAAUCUAAAUCUGGCUGUUACACCAACAAUGCAACCCCAGAAAGUCGGUGGGGCCAUAACACAGAUAAAGAGAAGAUCAGCUUGUUUUACAUGACUGUCACUGAAACCAGACAGAAGAAUACCUGUGAGCACACUCCUGACAAAAAGCUAAAAGCUCUUUGAUCUAAACACUUUCUUGGUUAAAAGGUCUUUGAGCUGCAAGCAAAGAACCUAUUCUCAGCUAUUUGAUGCCCUCUAUAUUCAGGGAAACAGGAUCUUGCACAUUCUUUAUCAAUAACAGGAAUUCCAGAGAUACCUGAGCCUCCACCAUCAACCUCUCUCAAGCACACAAAACCUUGAACUUUGAUCACUCACUUCUGACAAAAGGGAUAACAGUCUGAGUUGCCCUUCUCCUUCUUUCCUUAAAAAUCCUAAAGAUAAACCAUUCACUCAGAAAAUGUGCUGUAUAGGCUACUUGAAAAUAAAACAAUGCUUCAGCUUUUGAAAGCAUUGCAAAUCCAAAGACAACUUUUAAAUGUGCUGAAGUCUAACAGCCUACUCCAAUCCCUCUGCUCAGAGCAGGCUGCCAGGCCUGUGUCCACUUGUAUAUUGAGUAUCUCCAAGGGUGGAAACUCCAACUCCACCCUCUCUCUGUGCAAUUUACACCAGUGUUUGACCACACUCACAUGGAAAAGCUUGCUCUUGUGCCUAAAUGGAACUGUAUUGUAAAGACUGGACUGAUCUAAACAGGCAAGCAUCCUCUUCCUCAGAAGAAACUACCUCUCUUCUUGCAAUUUUGAGAUUUACAGUUUCGCCCGUGUGUCAAAUGGAGCAGCCUUAACAAUGGAAUGCAAGGGGAACAGACAGUGAAAAACAAGCUUGCUGAUUGCAGCUGUGUCUGUUCUUCUUAACUUCUUUAUUUUUUAAAAUAAGUAAAUUCGAAGAACAUUUUAGAGAGUUUCCUUCAAAACUGAAACCAGAAAGAAAAUAAGAAUUUAAGUACUCACUUACUGAGACUCAAUGCUACUGGAACCUCCAAUGUAUGAGCAGAAGAGGCUCACAAUAUUUAAAAACAUGUUGCAUACAAACACACUAUCACAGGGCUGUAGGGAUGUCUCAAGGAUCACAUACCAAGUCUAUUCAGGUUCAGUGACUUUUUUUCUUUUUCCCUGCCAACAUUUCCAACCCAGCCUGGGUUUCAUGUCCGAGGUGUGGCUGUUUCUUGCCCUCAUGUCAAAGGCUGAGGACCUUCAGCUGAAAAUACUGCAGCACUAUUUCCUGGGCUGAGUGCAAGCAGCUUGUUACCAUCAGGAAGUCUGCACGUGUUAAACAAAUUUCUCGCUCACUUUUGUCAGGUGUGCUUUCCCAGAGCUCAUGACUAACAGCUGUGCAACGAGCACUCCCUGAUCAGAGCAGUCCAACAGAUGUAGGUUAGUUCAUAGACUUCAGUUCCCUGCUCUUCACCCCAGAAGAAAAUUAAAAACAUAGAGAAAAGGAAUCCACCGAAUCUAUCACACAGAUACCUACAGAUUCAUAACCUGGAUAUACAGAUAAAAACCGCAACUACACAUUUAUGGGGCUGCAUCACGGAUUUUUAAUUUACUUGGUAUUAUGAAGUGGUAACUGUUUUGCCAUGAACAUUCACAGUAAGAAAAAGAUGAGUUAGAACAAAGCAAUUACUCAACUAUCUUUUUUCCAAGUAACAUUUAUUAAUAACAUUCUUAAGGUGAUAACUUAAGAGUCAUAAGGAAGGGGGCUGUUGUCAGUAAACAUACAAUAAAAAGGUAGUAAGAUUUUUCUACUAAAGUAUGACUAACAAGGCUUUUAACAGUGUUUAGCUCAACCAAAUUUAAUAUUAAAAACAUUCAAAAUUGCUAGAAGUGUUGCAAUCAGUUCUGUUGAACUUAUAAAACCUCAUUUCAGUAGUCAAUACUAACCUACUAUUUAUAUAAAACUUUAAACUCCAUUCUUAAUUUUUGUAAACAAAGCACCUAAGCAUUUGAAAGGAAAAAGUUAGUUUACACCCCAUUAAACUGCAGCACGUGUGUGAAACCUCAGGCAUGAUCAGGCAUGGAGCAUUAUUAGGCACAGAACAAGACACAGGUUCCACAGCCAGCUGCUGAAUACACUUACAUUGCCAAAGGUCUUUUUUUAUACUAAUUCCAUUAUCAUUUAUAGUUGAAAAUUUAGUAAAUCCUCCAUGCAGAAGAUUUCAAAAGAGACAAAGAAGUCAUAUAACAUAGGUUUGUGAAGCUUCUGAAGGCUGCAUGACUUUGAAUGAGUUAUGACUUCUUUAUCUGCUUCAGAAAUUUUCAGAAACUUCUUCAAAAUCACUGAACUUUGGCAGAUACUGGGCCUGUCAAAGAGCACGACAACACACCAGAAGACACAUUUUCAGUCUGCUAUUGGAACACUGAGGUAUGCUGUAAUUUAUGAAAUGCCAGUCAAAUAAAAACUGAAGAUGACCAUUGCAUUCUGAGGCUGUCAGUUCAAGCUCAAGUCAAGGAGGGGAACUGCUAACAUACAAAACCUGCUUGUAAAUCCUGUUUCCUUAGGGAAGUUGCAAACAAGGUGUUUAUCUUACCCGUAUCAACUGGCACCACAGUCAAUCCCUGUGAAUGGCAACAACUGACAUCCAGACUGUCAGUCUGGCUGCUCCUCCCUCUUGCAAACCAACGUUUAAACUUGAUAUAAAUCACAUAAAGCUGCGAAUGAAUUUGCAGUAAGCCUUUGUUAACUGCCGAUAGAGAUUUACAAUUGCCUUCAUUAGCAUACUGUCACAGUAAAUCUAGCUAAGCCAGAUUUAAUCUGGGUAAGUUUUCCUGAGCCGACACGCCCCAAACUAACUGUAAAUCAUAGAAUCAUAGAAUCAGCCGGGUUGGAAGGGACCUCUGAGAUCAAGUCCAACCCUUGAUCCACCACCGCCGUGGUUACUAGGCCAUGGCACUAAGUGCCACGUCCAGUCUUGUCUUAAAAACCUCCAGGGACAGAGAAUGCACCACUUCCCUGGGCAGCCCAGUCCAAUGUCUGAUUACCCUCUCUGUAAAGAAUUUCUUCCUAAUAUCUUAUGUCCAGAGGUGACCUUCAGACAAACAGGGAGGCACUUGCAUGAGGCACUGCAGGAAAAGUCUUCACUGCCCCUGCCCAGCAUGUGCUUACUCUGUUGUUUUCCCAGGGUUCUUGAACUUGUGCUGGCUAUAGGAAUGACAUUCAUUCAAAGAAUAGGAAAAAUGCUUUAACAGCUACCUGACAUGAGCACUAAGUGAACUCAAUGGUCUCCUGUUGUUGCCUUCUCCAGUUUUCUUUGGUGUGAGGUGUUAGCAUUACAGCUAUACAAAUUUUUUAUGCCUAAUCCCCCUCAAUUUGCAGUUUCCUGAAAAAAGAACAAGUGUCAGACAAACUCAAACUCUUCUAAAUGCAAAUAAUGAUUUAAACUAUUUAUCCUUUUCCAAGUCUUUAAGAGCUAAAACAAAUUAACAUUAAACAAGUUAAACACAUGCAUUGGCUUUAACUAACACAGGCACUACUAGCAUUAUUCAAACCUGGUUUGUCUAUCAAUUUCAAAGAAUUUUCAAAAACAGUUAAAAAAGUAUGGUGCAGAUGCAAAAGGUAAAAAAAAGAAAAAAAAAAAAUCUGUCCUGUUUUCCCCCAUCCCUUUGAAUUGAUCCACAGCCAAAUGAAGACCACAAAUAGAGACCUAGUACAGACCUACUCUUAACCAGUUGAAGAACCAGGCCAGAGUUAACAUUUCACACCACGCCCCAAAACAGCA